rnacentral:rRNA from 1 species
GUUCUUUAAGCAUGAGGGAUACUUGUUUCGGGAGAAUAAAUUAUGCGUUCCUAAUUGCUCUAUGCAUGAACUAGUGAUUAGGGAAGCACAUAGUGGGGGACUUAUGGGUCACUUUGGGGUAGCAAAUACUUUAGAUAUAUUGACCGAACAUUUCUAUUGGCCUAAAAUGAAUGUUGAUGUAGAAAGGGUUUGUAGUCGAUGCAUAAAAUGUAAAGAGGCCAAAUCUAGGGUCUCACCUCAUGGACUAUAUACACCUUUACCAGUACCUAAUGAACCUUGGGUAGAUAUUUCAAUCAAAUUUGUGUUAGGUUUGCCUAGGACCAAAAAGGGGGGAGAUUCAAUUUUUUUAGUCGUGGAUAGGUUUGGUAAAAUGACACAUUUCAUUUCAUGUCACAGAAUUGAUGAUGCCACUAACAUUGUAGAUUUUUUCUUUAAAGAAAUUGUGCGCUUGCAUGGGGUACCUAAAAGCAUAGUGUCAGAUAGGGAUGUUAAGUUCUUUAGUCACUUUUGGAUAGUCGUGUGGAGUAAGUUAGGCAUGAAACUACUAUUUUCUACAACCUGUCAUCUACAAAAAGAUGUCCAAACCGAAGUAGUGAAUAGGACUAUACACAAAACUUUUGUGCACUGUAGUUAAUAAGAAUUUGAAGAAUUGGGAAGAGUGCUUACCUUUCAUCGAAUCUGCAUAUAAUAGGGACACACUCCACUAUGUCAUUUUCUCCUUUUGAAAUUGUUUACGAUUUUAAUCCUAUAACACCUAUGGAUUUAAUACAUUUACCUGUUAAUGAACAAGGUAGCUUGGAUGGAAAAAGGAAGGCCGAGUUGGUGAAGUCACUCUAUGAAAAGGUGCGGGAGCAAAUUGAGAAGAAAAGCAAGCACUAUGCAGAGCAAGCAAAUAAGGACAGAAAAAUUAUCACAUUCGAACUAGGAGACUGGGUUUGGGCGCACUUUAGAAAAGAGCGGUUCCAGAGCAAAGAAAAUCAAAGUUGUUACCACGAGGAGAUGGACCAUUCCAAGUAGUUGAGAAGAUCAAUGACAACGCAUACAAAUUUGAUCUUCCAAGUAAGUAUAACAUUUCGGUAACUUUUAAUGUAUUUGAUCUUUCUUUCUUUGUUGCAGGUUCAGGUUUGAGAAUGAAUCCUUUCGAAGAGGGAGGGGAUGAUGUGAUCUAGGAGCCGCAAGCAACCAAAUCAAGUCCAAUGUCAAGCCCGGGGAAAGAUUCGUUGAAAGUCGAAGGUGGACCUGUGACAGAGUGAGGACAAAAUGAGUGAAAGAGGCGAUGGGACUACUCAUCAAGACAUCCAUUGAUGAAAUCAUGUUCGGGUCGAAGGCCGAAACCAAUUGGAUCAACACGAUACAAACAGCCGAAGAUGGAGCUGGAGAGAAGAACCAUGCGACCGCAUGGUUAAAAUCGUCUUGUAGUCGCACGGAGUGAGUAGGGAAUUAUUCGGGAUUUUCGAAUGUUCCAUGUGGGCACAUGACUUUACACCAUGCGACCGCAUGGUUAAAAUUUGACGCGUUUUUUUUAAAUUUUUUUUGCGAAUUUCCUAUUUUUGAUAGAAUUUGAUGCUUAUUAGAUUUCUUACCAUAUUUGAAAUAUUAGGCACAUUUUUACCUAGUUUUUUAGACCUAGUAUAAAUACUAUUUUAUUUUCAAUUGUAAGAACCUUUUUGACAUUAUUUGUAAUUUGAGAGGCUAUAUUGCUUUCAACUCUUGUUCUACAAUUGAACAAUUCAAGAACAUAUCAAGAUUUAAUCUUGUGGCUUUCAAAUAAACCAGGUGAGAUUUCGUAUUUUUGAGUAAUCAAGAGGUCCGUACAUCAUCGGCAAUUUAGGUUGCUUGGUUCCAGAUCUAUUGAAUUUAAUCCAAAAACCUUUCUUUGGCUUUCUUGGGAAGAUUUCAAUCUUGUUCAUGGAUUUCAUAGCGUUUGCCUACGUGGGUUCACAUCAGAAAGACCCUGUGAAGCUUCGCUGUUCCAUAGGAUUGGGUUUAGGCCUUUCUUAUGCAUCUUAGGUGGGACGCGAAGAAAGCCUCCUUCUGGGGGGAGGGGCCCAAGCCAUCAGUGAGAUACCACUCUGGAAAAGUUAGAAUUCUAACCUUGUGUCAGGACCUACGGGCUAAGGGACAGUCUCAGGUAGACAAUUUCUAUGGGAUGUAGGCCUCCUAAAAGGUAAUGAAGACGUGCAAAGGUUUCCUUGGGCCGGAUAGAGAUUGGUCCUCGAGUGCAAAGACAGAAGGGAGCUUGACUGCAAGACCCACCUGUCAAGCACGGAUGAAAGUCUUCCUUAGUUAUCUGACAGUGCCAAGUGGAAGGGCCAUGCUCAACGGAUAAAAGUUACUCUAGGGAUAACAGGCUGAUCUUCCCAAGAGCUCAAAUUGACAGGAAGGUUUGGCACCUCGAUGUCGGCUCUUCGCCACCUGGGGCUGUAGUAUGUUCCAAGAAUUGGGUUGUUCGCCCAUUAACGUGGUACGUAAGCUGGGUUCAGAAUGUCGUGAGGUGGUUCGCUCUAUAUUUGAUGUGGGCAUUAGAGCAUUGAGAGGACCUUUCCCUAGUACGAGAGGACCGGGAAGGACGUACCUCUGGUGUACCAGUUAUUGUGUCCACAGUAAACGCUGGGUAGCCAAGUGCGUAGCGGAUAACUACUGAAAGCAUCUAAGUAGUAAGCCCACCCCAAGAUGAGUGCUCUCCUAUUCUGACUUUCCUAGAGCUUCCAAUAGCACAGUCGAGCCAGCGACAGGUUCUCUGUCUCUGCGGGGAUGGAGCGACAGAAGUUUUGAGAAUUCAAGAGAAGAUCACAAAGAGACAAGCCGUUUAUCAUUACAAUAUGUGUCAAGUGGAAGUGUAGUAAUGUAUGCAGCUGAGGCAUCCUAAUAGACCGAUAGACUUGAAC